rnacentral:pre_miRNA from 1 species
AAUGUACUUCCUCCGUUUCGAAUUACUUGUCGCAGGUAUGAAUAUAUCUAGAUGUAUUUUAGUUGUAGAUACAUCCAUUUCUACGACGAGUAAUUUAGAGCGGAGGGAGUAAUUU